UGAGAAGCUGGUUGUGGGUGAACCGAGGGAUCAGACUCAGGACGCGGGGCUGUGUGGCGUGCGCUGAGGGGUAGGGGUUCAGGAAGCGGGGCGGACUGUAGUGUGAGCCGCCUGCUGGUUCAUUUCUGCACCAGACUCAACUCAGGUCACAUCUGAGCCGCCAGCAGACAUGAAGGUCCAGCCGAAGGGGACCCAGGCGGCCGGUUGAUCUGCACACGUCCAUCAGGCAGGUGACGGCGGGUCUGUUUCGCGUGUGUCAUGUCGCGGAAUGUACACUUUGGAGGUGACACCUUUCAGAGGAGGCAGGUAGCGAGGAGACUAGCCGGCUAGCCGCUAACGGUAACUAGCUAACAACACGGGACGCUAACGCUAACCAGCUAACACGCCGCGGCUUCUGUUCUUAAGCAAGUGACUCCAUGGAUACCAACACGGUGGGGGUCCACCAUGAAGACCUGAUCACAUGAAGAACUGAUCACAUGAAGACCUGAUCACAUGAAGACCUGAUCAUAUGAAGCUCACCUUGGAGCCGCCAGGAGGACCUGAGCACUAGGUCUUUCCCCUCAGGAGGAGGACCUGAACCCGAGGAGGACCUGAGCUGUAGGUCUGUCCCUCUGAGCUCUAGGUCUGUCCCUCUGAGCACUAGGUCUGUCCCUAAGUCUGUUCCUCUGAACCCGGACUAGCGGCCGCUCGUGAGGAGCAGCGGGUGAUUGACAGCCUUCAGCCCGCCAUCCGGAUCAGGCUGCCCGCGGACCAGGAAUGGAUGACUGGCGGGGAGAACCUUCCAGAUUAAACCACUGGUACUGGUCCCGCUGACCAGUUAACCUGUGGUGAGGAGUCAACAAGUCGUGCUGUCAACAAGUUGUGUUUAACAACAAGUUGUGCUAUCAACGUGUCCAACGCCCGCGUCCUGCGGCGCGAAAUGAAGCAGAGCGAGAAUAGGAACAAGAGGAAGCUGAGCAACAUGGACCCGCCCGGGGAGAACAUAGACAGACCCGGGGAGAACAUAGACAGACCCGGGGAGAACAUAGACAGACCCGGGGAGAACAUGGACCCGCCUGGGGAGACCAUGGCCCGACCCGGGGAGAAGGACGCGGUAAACCUGACAAGGAAUACUUUAUUCAACAGCUGAAAUGUAGCUACUGCACAAUCCCUGGUGAGGACCUUUUGGAGACUGGAGGGAGGAGUGGACAUGAUGGUGUUAUGGAAUGUCCGACAGAUGUUUCUUUGCUUGUUGCCACGCAGUUUUAUGUGUUUUCAGGGAGAAGGAAGCCUUAC
ensembl:lncRNA